rnacentral:rRNA from 1 species
AUUGAACGCUGGCGGCAUGCCUUACACAUGCAAGUCGAACGGCAGCGGGGGAGAAGCUUGCUUUUCCUGCCGGCGAGUGGCGAACGGGUGAGUAAUACAUCGGAACGUGCCCUGUAGUGGGGGAUAACUAGUCGAAAGAUUAGCUAAUACCGCAUACGACCUGAGGGUAAAAGUGGGGGACCGCAAGGCCUCAUGCUAUAGGAGCGGCCGAUGUCUGAUUAGCUAGUUGGUGGGGUAAAGGCCUACCAAGGCGACGAUCAGUAGCUGGUCUGAGAGGACGAUCAGCCACACUGGGACGGAGACACGGCCCAGACUCCUACGGGAGGCAGCAGUGGGGAAUUUUUGACAAUGGGCGAAAGCCUGAUCCAGCAAUGCCGCGUGUGUGAAGAAGGCCUUCGGGUUGUAAAGCACUUUUGUCCGGAAAGAAAUGGCUCUGGUUAAUACCUGGGGUCGAUGACGGUACCGGAAGAAUAAGGACCGGCUAACUACGUGCCAGCCGCCGCGGUAA